rnacentral:lncRNA from 10 species
GCCUAUGGGGGCAUUGUGACAUAUCUCUACACUGAUCACCCAGGUGAUGUAACUCUUGUGUUGGAUCUGCCUAUGGGGGCAUUGUGACAUAUUUCUGCACUGAUCACCCAGGGGAUGGGACUGUUGUCUAGGCUCUGUGUAUGGGGGCUUUGUGACAUAUCUCUGCACUGAUCACUCAGGUGAUGUAACGCUUGACUAGGCUCUGCCUACUGGGGCAUAGUGACAUAUCACUGCAUUGAUCACUCAGGUGAUGUAACUAUUGUCUAGGCUCUGCUUAAAGGGGCCUUGUCACAUAUCUCUGCACUGAUCACCCAGGUGAUGGAACACUUGUCUAGGCUCUGCCUACAUGGGCAUUGUGACACAUCUCUGAACUGAUCAACAAAGUGAUGUAACUCUUGUCUAGGCUCUGCCUACAGGGGCUUUGUGACAUAUCUCUGCACUGAUCACCCAGGUGAUGGGACUUUUGUCUAGGCUCUGUCUACGGGGGCAUUGUGACAUAUCUCUACACUGAUCACCCAGGUGAUGUAACUCUUGUGUUGGAUCUGCCUAUGGGGGCAUUGAGACAUAUUUCUGCACUGAUCACCCAGGUGAUGUAACACUUGUGUUGGAUCUGCCUAUAGGGGCAUUGUGACAUAUUUCUGCACUGAUCACCCAGGUGAUGGGACUCUUGUCUAGGCUCUGUGUAUGGGGGCUUUCUGACAUAUCUCUGCACUGAUCACCCAGGUGAUGUAACGCUUGACUAGGCUCUGCCUACGGGGCACAGUGACAUAUCACUGCAUUGAUCACCGAGGUGAUGUAACUCUUGUCCAGGCUCUGCCUAUAGGGGGCCUUGUGACGUAUCUCUGCACUGAUCAUCUAGGUGAUGUAACUCUUGCUUACGCUCUGCCUGCAGGGGCAUUGAGAAAUAUCUCUUUACUGAUCAACCAGAUGAUGUAACUCUUGUCUAGGCUCUGCCUACAGGGGGCAUUGUGGCAUAACUCUGCACUGAUCACCCAGGUGAAGGGACUCUUCUCUAGGUUCUGCCUACUGGGGGCAUUGUCACAUAUUUCUGCAGUGAUCACCCAGGUGACUGACUCUUGUCUUGGAUUUGCCUAUGGGGGCAAUGUGACAUACCUCUGCACUGAUCACCCAGGUGAUGUAACUCUGGUCUAAGCUCUGCCUAAAGGGGCAUUGUGACAGAUCUCUGCACUGAUCACUCAGGUGAUGUAACUAUUGUCUAGGCUCUGCUUAAAGGGGCCUUGUCACAUAUGUCUGCACUGAUCACCCAGGUGAUGUAACUCUUGUCUAGGCUCUGCUUACAGGGGGUAUUGUGACAUAUCUCUGCACUGAUCACCUAAGUGAUGUAAUACUUGUGUAGGCUCUGCCUACAGGGGCAUUUUGACAUAUCUCUGCACUGUUAACCGAGGUGAUGUAACUCUUGUCUAGGCUGUGCCCACAGGGGGAUUGAGACAUAUCUCUGCACUGAUCCCGAGGUGAUCCAACUCUUGCCUGGUCUCUGCCUACUGGGGACAUUGUGACAUAUCUCUGCACUGAUCUCCCAGGUGCUGUAACUUUUGUCUAGGCUCUGGCUACACAGCAUUGUGACAUAUGACUGCACUGAUCACCCAGGUGAUAUAACUCUUGUCUAGGCUCUGCCUACAGGGGGCUUGUGACAUAUCUCUGCACUGAUCACCCAGGUGAUAUAACUCUUCUCUAGGAUCUGCCUACAGGGUGCUUUGUGACAUAUCCCUGCAAUGAUCACCCAGGUGAUGUACCACUUGUCAAGGCUCUGCCUACAGGGGCAUUGCGAUGUAUCUCUGCACUGAUCACCUAGGUCAUGUAACUCUUGUCUAGGCUCUGCCUACAGUGGCAUUGUGACAUAUCUCUGCACUGAUCACCCAAGUAAUGGGACUCUUGUCUAGGAUCUGCCUAAAGGGACUUUGUGACAUAACUCUGCACUAAUCAUCCAGGUGAUGGGGCUUUUGUCUAGGCUCUGCCUAAGGGGGCAUUGUGACGUAUUUCUGCACUGAUCACCCAGGAGACGGACUCUUGUCUUGGAUCUGCCUAUGGGGGCAUUGUGACAUAUAUCUGCACUGAUCACCCAGGUGAUGUAACUGUUGUAUAAGCUCUGCCUACAGGGGAAUUGUGAGAGAUCUCGCCACUGAUCACCCAAGUGAUGUAACCCUUGUCUAGGCUCUGCCAAAAGGGGGCAUUGUGACAUAACUCUGCACUGAUCACCCAGGUGAUGGGACUCUUGUCUAGGCUCUGCCUACAGGGGCAUUGUGACAUAUCUCUGCAGUGAUCACGCAGGUGAUGUAACUCUUGUCUAUAUCUGUCUACUGGUGGCAUUGUGGCAUAUUUCUGCACUGAUCACCCAGGUGAUGGACUCUUGUCUUGGAUCUGCCUAUGGGGGCAUAGUGACAUAUCUCUGCACUGAUCACUCAUGUGAUGUAACGCUUGUCUAAGCUGCGCCUAAAGGCGAAUUGUGACAGAUAUCUCCACUGAUCACCCAGGUGAUGUAACUCUUGUCUAGGCCCCACCUACAGGGGGUAUUGUGACGUAUCUCUGCAGUGAUCACCCAGGUGAUGUAACACUCAUCUAGGCUCUGCCUACAGGGGCGUUUUGACAUAGCUCUGCACAGAUCAUCUAGGUUAUGUAACUUUUGUCCACUCUCUGCCUACAGGGGGCAUUGUGAAAUAUCUCUGCACUGAUCACCCAGGUGAUGGGACUCUUCUCUAUACUCUGCCUAGAGGGGGAUUUGUGACAUAUCUCUGCACUGAUCACCCAGGUGAUGGAAGUCUUGUCUAGGCUCUGUCUAUGGGGGCAUUGUGUCAAAUAUCUGCACUGAUCACCCAGGUGAUGUAACUCUUGUCUAGGCUCUGUCUACAGGGAUUUUUGUGACAUAUCACUGCACUGAUCACCUAGGUGAUGUAAACCUUGUAUGGGCUUUGCCUACAGAAGGCUUUGUGACAUAUCUAUGCACUGAUCUCUGAGGUGAUUCAACUCUUGUCUAGGCACUGCCUACAGGGCACAUUGGUACAUAUCUCUGCACUGAUCACCCAGGUGAUGGACCCUUGUCUUAGAUCUGCCUACAUGGACAUUGUGACACAUCUCUGAACUGAUCAACCAAGUGAUGAAACUCUUGUCUAGGCUCUGCCUACAGGGGCUUUGUGACACAUCUCUGCACUGAUCACCCUGGGGAGGGAACUCUUGUCUACGCUCUGCCUACAGGGGCUUUGUGACACAUCUCUGCACUGAUCACCCUGGGGAGGGAACUCUUGUCUACGCUCUGCCUACAGGAGGCUUUAUGACUAAUACUUACACUGAUAACCUAGGUGAUGUAACACUUGUCUAGGCUCUGCCUACACGGGAAUUCUCACAUAUCUCUGCACUGAUAACCUAGGUGAUGUAACACUUGUCUAGGCUCUGCCUACAAGGGAAUUCUCACAUAUCUCUGCACUGAUCCCCCAGGUGAUGUAACUCCUGUCUAGGUUCAGCCUACAGGAGCGUUUUGACAUAUCUCUGCACUGAUCACCCAGGUGAUGUAACACUUGUC